UUUUUUUUUUUUUUUUUUUUUUUACUUAAGCCAUUAAUUUUACGUCUUUUACUUUGGAACUCUUAGUGUCUCAGAAUAUUCUUUUUCCAGAAAAUUUUGAGGCAGAAAAUCCAUUUUGCCACAAGUUUUCUCUUUCAAAUACAUCCAAAUCCAAAAGUGCAAGCCCCAGGGAUCUAAAAAAAACGUAAAUUUACUAAGGUAAUAUUUGUAUAACUUGCUUCUCAGAUGGACAAUUUGAGUGGGAAUAAAACCUGUCAACAAAGAAGGUCUACCACCUAUUAAAGUGAAACUGUAUCUUUCAGAUUUAGUUUAGUCAUUUGUAAGCUGGAGAGAACCACCUUCAAAAUUUACAACUAAAUAUUAUAAUAUGUAUGAAAUCACUUGAGAAUUUUUUAGUCCAAUGGAAAUAUUUAUGUUACUCUUGAUCACCUAGUCAGAUAGUGUUAAGUGGAAUUUGCUGGAAACAGAUCUUUCCAUUGCUUUCCAAGUAUCCACUUAUGCAUAUUUUUACUAUUUGCUCAAGCAUUCAAUAUGAUUAUUUAAAGCCAUGAGUAAAGAAUUAAUAGAAUAAACUCUAGAAUUAGACUAAGCUCAAAUUCUGGGUUCUACCACUUACUGCCCACAGACUUAGGGGAUGUCAUUUAACCUCUUUAUUGCCUCUGAAUCCACAAGUGUAAAAUGAAGAUAAAACUAGUACCAAACUUAAGGUAUUAAAACAUGUAAAAAAAAAUCCCUGGUGGCACAUAGAAAGUAUUAUAGAAAUUACCAGCAAGAAAAAAUAAUAUUUUCAUUAUCAGUAUAUCAUGGACUCUAUGAGAAAACUCAAAAGCCUGAGAUUAAUGAAAAUAUUAUUGAAGUUGCCAAUUCAAACUUCAUAUUUGCAAAUAAGUCAAUAUUUUUCCAAUAUAUUCAUGUCGAUUUUAUAAUAUUGGUUAUAAUUCAUUACAUAUUAAAGCAUCAUCAUUUAAUGAAAGGAACACUAUGUGGGAAUAGGUAGACUGGAGUUGAAAUCUGUUUAUCUUUAAGCAAGAUAGUGAACAUUUCUUUGUCUUAUUUUUUGGCAUGUAUAAAAUAGUAAUAAUAUAAUUCUAAAGAUUUUGCUUAAUAUGGAGUUCUUCAAACAGUUCUUGGAAAAUGGUUUUUAAGAAACAGUAUUACUUACCUUUUCCUGCUGUUUGGGUGUGUGUGUGUGUAUUCUUUCUAAUAUUUAUGCCAUAACAGGGGCCUAAGGACUUCAGACUCAACUUGUAUAUUUCAACUGAGGAACCAUUAUAAGGUCUUAAGAAAUUCAUAUUCUUAAGAAAUGAUGCUCUAAAGAAGUGAUUCAUUCUAUGGCCCUGGAAAUCUAUGGUAGGCCAAGGUUAUUUCUACAAAACCACAUGUGCACUCAGCCUGGUCCGCUGAUUACAUAAACAAUGUAGCAUACAUAUGAGUUAACACAACAUACACAAUUAUUUAAAAACAUGACUUUUUUUUCUGUUAUGCAUUUUCUUAGGAGAUAAUAAUACUGUGUCCUAGGAGAUAACCAAAUUGUUAAAAACUAGUUCUUAUUCUAAAAACCUGGAAACCACUAGUCAAAGGACACUCAAACUAAACAUUUUAAAGUUAUUUUAAAUCUCUGAUUCAAAGCAGGGCUCUUAUUUUAACUGUCCAUCUUCCCCCACACUCUGGUUAUUUUUAUAGUUUCCUCUUUAUGCUCUGAUUUUAUAGUGUGACUGCUCAUGCAUAUUUGUUCCAGAUUUCUAAUAUGCACGGACUCAUGCACUCUCAGAGUUAAAAAGGACCUUAAAGUCGUCUAGUUCAACCAUCCAUCAGAUGCAUGAAUUAUUCCUAUUUAUGUCCACAUCCACUUUUGUGGUAUCUUACAUAUACCCUAGACAUUAGCCCUAUAGCCAAACAUUAACUCUGACUCUAAAUGAAAUGCUUAAUUCAUCAGCACUUUUAAAACUUCCCAUUUGUAACAAAAAUCUCAAUUAAGGUGUAUUUAACCACUACUGUCACAAAAUGACUGAUUCUCUAUAGCAUAUAUUGAACUAGUCUAUCAUCAGUAUUCAAGUCAUUCUCAUGAAUUAAAUUAAAUGCUUAGGGAGCUCCAUUAACUCUUUCAGACCACUAGGGCAUUAGUAUACAAAGUACAGUAACUGUAGUAGAGUUAUAUACCAGAGAGGCAUGAAUAAUAGAGAGCGUGACGAGAAAUAUAUAGAGUCAGAAAUAAAUGACCUUUAUUAGAAUGGUACUUUUUAAGUACAUGUUAAAUACAAAAAGAAACAGAUUAUUAAAUACUGUGAGCUGCCAUUUAAAUGGAUUUCAUCAGACAUUUCAAUCUAUAGAGGACUCACUCUUUGAAGCAUCACAUUAAGAGGGAGUUGUAUUGCCUGCUACAGACCUCACAUUGACAGAGAGAGAUUAAGAUAAUGACAGUCGUUAAAAUAACUGCCUAGUCAGACUUAAAAUGAUAGGCAUUAAAUUUGUGUUGAUUAACCGUUACAUCCUCUUUAAGAUUUUGGUGAUACAAAAUGAAAAGUACUGCAUUUAAAAUUUCUCCUUCUUUUUUCUUGCAUUUUCCCCCAAGUCAUAUGCUAUUUAUGCAGCUUUACAACUGACAUUAAAAUGACACAUGAUUAAAAUAUUCAUUGUACUUACACUGAAGGGACCUUUGUCCAAUAAUUUUGGAUAUAAAAAUAAGGAACGUUGUUCUUCCUAAUACCUUUUCUCUAACUUUUACUUUCAUUGCUACUGAAAAUUAAGUGUACGCUACGUAGUCUAGCAUCAAAGUAGGCACUAAGAAGGAGAUGAAAAGAUACUUUUUAUGAUAAAAACUGCAUACAUUUUAAUUUCCUUGUUCCUAUGAAAUGAAUUGAUUUCUAGCUGAUUUCCAAAUACACAACGUAAGAGUCACUUACCCAAAUAGAUGAUCGGUAUCAGAAAGCUCUAGGAGGUUCCUGGAUUAUAAUAGCUCUGAGAGAUGCAAGGGAUGCACAAAGUUCCCACAGAAUUUACCGUAUGAAAUACCCUGUGUUAAUUUUCUGUUUCUGCCAUUACCAAUUAUUGCAGGUUUAGCAGCUUGAACAAAAAACUUAUCUUUCAGCUCUGCAGGUUAGAAUUCUUAAAGUCUAAUGGAGGUCUCACUGGGCUACAUUCAAGAUAUCUAUAGGCUGCAUUCAUUCAUCUCUUGGAUAUUCAAAGGGACAGUCUAUUUCCUGCUUGAUUAAAUUGUUAGCAAAAUUCAGUUCCUUGAGGUGGUAGGACCAAGGUCCCCAUUUUCUUGCUAGCUGUUGUCAUAGGACCUUUCCCAGAGCCUCAAAGUCUCUGCAUCCCUUAGCUCAAGGCUUUCUCUUCUUCCUCCAUUUUUUCUUUUCUUUUUUCUGCUCCCAGGGCAUGUGAAAGUUCCCAGGCCAGGGAUCAAACCCAAGCCAUUGCAGUGACAACACAUAAUCCUUAUUAUGGAUUAGGGCUACCAGGGAACUCCUCUUCCUCCAGCAAUAUCUAAUGUCUCUCAUACUUCAAAUCUCUAUUUCUCCACUUCCUGUCUCAUCUCUUACCCAUACAGGAAUGCUUCUCAAUUUUAUGAAGGAGUGCUCCUUAAUUUUUGUGAUUAUAUUGGGGUCACUGGAUAAUUCACAAUCAUUUCCCCAUUGCAAGGUCUAUACUCUGCAAAGUCUCUUUUGCCAUUAAGGUCACAUGGGAUUGACAGGUGUCAGGGAUUUGGCUGUGGACAUACGUGGGGGACAAGUUUCUGUCUCCCAGGUAUCCUAAGAGAGUAGGUUGAAGUAGUUGAAUAUUCUAGGACUACUAACAUAGGGGAAGAAAAAUCUAGACCCAAAGAUUUACUCCAAAUUUCUUUGUAAGAGAAUAAAAGAAAUGAAGUUAAUAGUAGUUCUGUGAUUUGGAAUAUCUGGGUCUAUAAAGUGAAAUGGAUAAUUGAGGUGUCAUUAGAGAAAAACAAACUCCCAAAGUCAAGUACAUAUAUUCUGCCUGUUUUGGGAAAAUAUGAAGUCUGACUUAAGUAUUUUCGGUAGACAGCUACUGAUUUUGCCAUCAAGCAUCUUUUCACCCUUCUAGUAACCAAGCCCUGGCUUUUCUCUGGGGACCUAAGCUCUCUCUUCACUCUCAAUUCCAGCUUUUGCAUGUAAAGCAGACGAGGUCUGAACAAUCCAGCAAAGUGCAUUCCUUUAGCCUCUUAGCUUAUGUGUUAGGAGUUCUAACCAAACUUUAAAGAACAGAUCUUUUCAACAAUAUGUAGUCUUUUUUCCCUGAUCCCUUAGAAAAACGAAAUGUACCCCAACUUCUUUUAAGAAGUCACAUAACCUUAGCUCCAAAACCUGAUGAAGUUGGCACAAAAAAAUUAUAAACAUGGAUGCAAAAAUCUAAGUAAAAUAUUAAGAAAGCAAAUAAAGCAUUGUAUUAAUAUAACACAACAUAAUAGAGUUAAUUGAGAAAUGGGAAUAUAACAGCAUUAAGGUCUCCCUAACAUACUUUUCACAGACCUUGAAAAGUUAUUGUCCCUCCACUUUCACAUUUCACAGUCUUAUUUGCUUAUUUUAUUUGUUAAGUUAGGACUUUCAGUUCUUCGUUUAUAAACUAGAAGCAACUCCAGGUAUUCUUUCCUUUUGCCAAAUGUAUCAACAUUUUCCCCAAAACUAAUAUAAUUUUAGUUAUUAGUUUAGAUAUACUUUAUCAAAAUAAAGAAUUUUUCUGGACUUCCCUUGGUGGCGCAGUGAUUAACGAAUCCGACUGGGAACCAUGAGGUUGAGGGUUCAAUCCCUGGCCUCGAUCAGUGGGUUAAGGACCCGGCGUUGCCUGUCAACUGUGGUGUAGGUCGCAGAUGCGGCUGGGAUCCUGCGUUGCUGUGGCUCUGGUGUAGGCCAGUGGCUACAGCUCCAAUUGGACCCCUAGCCUGGGAACCUCCAUAUGCCGUGGGAGCAGCCCAAGAAAUGGC
rnacentral:lncRNA from 1 species